UACGGGGGGGGCAAGCGUUGUUCGGAAUUACUGGGCGUAAAGGGCGCGUAGGCGGUGCUCUAAGUUAGAUGUGAAAACUCUGGGCUCAACCCAGAGCCUGCAUCUAAAACUGGAGUGCUAGAGUUCUGGAGGGGGUAGCGGAAUUCCUGGUGUAGCGGUGAAAUGCGUAGAGAUCGGGAGGAAGGCCGGUGGCGAAGGCGGCGCUCUGGAACGUUUCUGACGCUGAGGCUCGAAAGCGUGGGGAGCAAACAGG
rnacentral:rRNA from 1 species